rnacentral:rRNA from 1 species
UACGGGGGGGGGCAAGCGUUGUUCGGAAUUACUGGGCGUAAAGGGCUCGUAGGUGGCCAACUAAGUCAGUACGUGAAAUCCCUCGGCUUAACCGGGGAACUGCGUGUGAUACUGGAUGGCUUGAGUUCGGGAGAGGGAUGCGGAAUUCCAGGUGUAGCGGUGAAAUGCGUAGAUAUCUGGAGGAACACCGGUGGCGAAGGCGGCGUCCUGGACCAACACUGACACUGAGGAGCGAAAGCGUGGGGAGCGAACAGG